AAAAAAUUAAUUUCAAAACAUCUAAACCAUCAUUUUUUAAUCAAAUUAAAAAAUUUUAAUACUUUAUUUUUUAUUUCCUUAUCUUCUUUUAAAAAAUUUUCAUACUUUAAAAACCUUCGUUACACCUCUUCUGUACAACGCCCAAACUUCGGUGGAAGCCGGUGGAGAUUUCCGACUCCCCAGCUGAUUUUGUUGAUGGGCUAUACACAAUUUGUGGGGUUGGCAUCUCCUUCCAUCGCCAUAGAUAUGCUCUUCACAUGUAAUUGGCAUUUCACAAAAAGUUUGUUCACCAUCUUUUGUUUAUAUAUGAAAUCAAUUUUCCUUGAAAU
rnacentral:misc_RNA from 1 species